GCCGAUGUGGCUCAGGGGUAGAGCAGCUCACUCGUAAUGAGCAGGUCGUCAGUUCGAAUCUGACCAUCGGCUCCA
rnacentral:tRNA from 1 species